UUAGAAGCAGCCAUCAUUUAAAGAGUGCGUAAUAGCUCACUAGUCGAGUGACACUGCGCCGAAAAUGUACCGGGGCUAAACAUAUUACCGAAGCUGUGGAUUGUCCUUUGGACAAUGGUAGGAGAGCGUUCUAAGGGCGUUGAAGCAUGAUCGUAAGGACAUGUGGAGCGCUUAGAAGUGAGAAUGCCGGUGUGAGUAGCGAAAGACGGGUGAGAAUCCCGUCCACCGAUUGACUAAGGUUUCCAGAGGAAGGCUCGUCCGCUCUGGGUUAGUCGGGUCCUAAGCUGAGGCCGACAGGCGUAGGCGAUGGAUAACAGGUUGAUAUUCCUGUACCACCUAUAAUCGUUUUAAUCGAUGGGGGGACGCAGUAGGAUAGGCGAAGCGUGCGAUUGGAUUGCACGUCUAAGCAGUAAGGCUGAGUAUUAGGCAAAUCCGGUACUCGUUAAGGCUGAGCUGUGAUGGGGAGAAGACAUUGUGUCUUCGAGUCGUUGAUUUCACACUGCCGAGAAAAGCCUCUAGAUAGAAAAUAGGUGCCCGUACCGCAAACCGACACAGGUAGUCAAGAUGAGAAUUCUAAGGUGAGCGAGCGAACUCUCGUUAAGGAACUCGGCAAAAUGACCCCGUAACUUCGGGAGAAGGGGUGCUCUUUAGGGUUAACGCCCAGAAGAGCCGCAGUGAAUAGGCCCAAGCGACUGUUUAUCAAAAACACAGGUCUCUGCUAAACCGUAAGGUGAUGUAUAGGGGCUGACGCCUGCCCGGUGCUGGAAGGUUAAGAGGAGUGGUUAGCUUCUGCGAAGCUACGAAUCGAAGCCCCAGUAAACGGCGGCCGUAACUAUAACGGUCCUAAGGUAGCGAAAUUCCUUGUCGGGUAAGUUCCGACCCGCACGAAAGGCGUAACGAUUUGGGCACUGUCUCAACGAGAGACUCGGUGAAAUCAUAGUACCUGUGAAGAUGCAGGUUACCCGCGACAGGACGGAAAGACCCCGUGGAGCUUUACUGUAGCCUGAUAUUGAAAUUCGGCACAGCUUGUACAGGAUAGGUAGGAGCCUUUGAAACGUGAGCGCUAGCUUACGUGGAGGCGCUGGUGGGAUACUACCCUAGCUGUGUUGGCUUUCUAACCCGCACCACUUAUCGUGGUGGGAGACAGUGUCAGGCGGGCAGUUUGACUGGGGCGGUCGCCUCCUAAAAGGUAACGGAGGCGCUCAAAGGUUCCCUCAGAAUGGUUGGAAAUCAUUCAUAGAGUGUAAAGGCAUAAGGGAGCUUGACUGCGAGACCUACAAGUCGAGCAGGGUCGAAAGACGGACUUAGUGAUCCGGUGGUUCCGCAUGGAAGGGCCAUCGCUCAACGGAUAAAAGCUACCCCGGGGAUAACAGGCUUAUCUCCCCCAAGAGUUCACAUCGACGGGGAGGUUUGGCACCUCGAUGUCGGCUCAUCGCAUCCUGGGGCUGUAGUCGGUCCCAAGGGUUGGGCUGUUCGCCCAUUAAAGCGGUACGCGAGCUGGGUUCAGAACGUCGUGAGACAGUUCGGUCCCUAUCCGUCGUGGGCGUAGGAAAUUUGAGAGGAGCUGUCCUUAGUACGAGAGGACCGGGAUGGACAUACCUCUGGUGUACCAGUUGUCGUGCCAACGGCAUAGCUGGGUAGCUAUGUGUGGACGGGAUAAGUGCUGAAAGCAUCUAAGCAUGAAGCCCCCCUCAAGAUGAGAUUUCCCAACUUCGGUUAUAAGAUCCCUCAAAGAUGAUGAGGUUAAUAGGUUCGAGGUGGAAGCAUGGUGACAUGUGGAGCUGACGAAUACUAAUCGAUCGAAGACUUAAUCAAAA
rnacentral:rRNA from 1 species